rnacentral:rRNA from 1 species
UAACGAGCGCAACCCUUGUCUUAGUUACCAGCACGUUAAGGUGGGCACUCUAAGGAGACUGCCGGUGACAAACCGGAGGAAGUGGGGAUGACGUCAAGUCAUCAUGGCCCUUACGGCCUGGGCUACACACGUGCUACAAUGGUCGGUACAAAGGGUUGCCAAGCCGCGAGGUGGAGCUAAUCCCAUAAAACCGAUCGUAGUCCGGAUCGCAGUCUGCAACUCGACUGCGUGAAGUCGGAAUCGCUAGUAAUCGUGAAUCAGAAUGUCACGGUGAAUACGUUCCCGGGCCUU